rnacentral:lncRNA from 1 species
ACCUAUACUGACUCACUUUCUUUGAUGGUGUUAGCUUGGGAGGAUCUUAGGGUUUCCCAUUCCUCUAAUUGCUGUUACUUCAGAUCUUUAUCUGCGUGGUACUUUUACAUUUUUCCCGCAUUUUACUGAUUUCCUAGCUAGAAGACCUCGAUAGGAGGCAAUGUUUUUGUGUGUUUAUUUUUUUAUUUUUUUAUUUUUUACAGGUUCCUUCGUCGAGGACUGCCCUUUUGCCCUUGAGCAUCCCCCAAACCCUAAA